AGUGGCAGACGGGAGAGUAACGCAUUGGUAACCUACCUCGUACUCGUGAACAACCUGGGGAAACCCAGGCUAAUACACGAUACUGAUGGGGGGUCUUAUGACAUUCCCAUUGAAAGAUCCGUCGGUACGAGAGGGGCCUAUGUAUUAUCAGCUUGUUGGUGAGGUAAUGGCUCACCAAGGCUACGACGAUUACCGGGCGUGAGAGCGUGACCCGGCUCACUGGGACUGAGACACUGCCCAGACUCCUACGGGGGGCUGCAGUCAAGAAUAUUCCACAAUGCACGAAAGUGUGAUGGAGCAAUGCCGCGUGCCGGAUGAAGGCCUUCGGGUCGUAAACGGCUGUCCUAGGGGACGAAUUUGUGACGGUACCCUAGAAGAAAGAGGUUGCUAACUCUGUGCCAGCAGCAGCGGUAAUACAGAGACCUCGAGCGUUGACCGGAUUUAUUGGGCGUAAAGCGUGCGCAGGCGGUUUUGUAAGUCAUCUGUUAAAUCUUCAGGCUCAACCUGGAGGCUGCGGGUGAAACUACAAGACUAGAGUCUGGGAGAGGUCAGUGGAAUGCCAGGUGUAGGGGUUAAAUCCGUUAAUAUCUGGUAGAACACCAAAUGCGAAGGCAGCUGACUGGAACAGUACUGACGCUGAUGCACGAAAGCGUGGGUAGCGAAUGGGAUUAGAUACCCCAGUAGUCCACGCCGUAAACGAUGAGUGCUAGGUAUUGCGAGUAUCGACCCUCGCAGUGCCGUUGAACCAAGCUAACGCGUUAAGCACUCCGCCUGGGGAGUAC
rnacentral:rRNA from 1 species